rnacentral:tRNA from 1 species
GCCUAGUUAGCUUAGUUGGUAGUGCAUCUGCCUUGUAAGCGCUAGGCCGCGGGCCGCGGGUUCGAUUCCCGCCCGGGGCG